rnacentral:rRNA from 1 species
CCUACGGGAGGCAGCAGUGAGGAAUAUUGGUCAAUGGACGAGAGCCUGAACCAGCCAAGUAGCGUGAAGGAUGACUGCCCUAUGGGUUGUAAACUUCUUUUAUAAAGGAAUAAAACGAGGCACGCGUGCCUUUUUGCAAGUACUUUAUGAAUAAGGAUCGGCUAACUCCGUGCCAGCAGCCGCGGUAAUACGGAGGAUCCGAGCGUUAUCCGGAUUUAUUGGGUUUAAAGGGAGCGUAGAUGGGAUGUUAAGGCAGCUGUUAAAGUUUGCGGCUCAACCGUAAUAUUGCCAUUGAUACUGGUUUUCUUGAGUACAGUUGAGGUAGGCGGAAUGCGUGGUGUAGCGGUGAAAUGCUUAGAUAUCACGAAGAACCCCGAUUGCGAAGGCAGCUUACUA